rnacentral:rRNA from 1 species
CCAGAAUACUACAGGACAACAGACUUARAACUCAWAGGAYGUUGGCGGUGCUUUAUAUUCCCCCUARAGGAGCCUGUUUUCAUAAGUCGAUAAACCCCGAUCCACCCUACCCUCUCUUGCUCAGCCUAUAUACCGCCAUCUUCAGCAAACCSUGAUGAAGGCUMCAAAGUGAGCGCAAGUGCCCCCGCCGCAAMAACGUUAGGUCAAGGUGUAGCCCAUGAGACGGUAAAAAAUGGGCUACAUUUUCUACCUCAGAAAACCCUACGAUAUCUCUUAUGAAAUGCUAAGAGUCCAAGGAGGAUUC